AACAUAAAAUGGCUCCUCGAGCAGCUCCUGAAUGCAUUGAUCAUGGGGUAUCUGUCAUGCUCAAACUCCGGUAGGUAGAUCCACUCCUGUAUGAUUUACUAGGAAGACCGGACCCUAUGUGGGUUGCCUACGUAUCACGCCUCGAAAGACGAGAAUCAGGUUUGCGUAGUUCGGGCAAAUUGGAUACGGGCAAGAAUAAAAAAACAACUAAUUUUAGAGAAAACAUUUUUUUUGUCUUUUUUUUUAAAAAAAUGAUGAAACAUGCAAAAUCUUUUUGGAUUUUCUUUUCUUUUUUUUUAUUUGAUUUUCGGAAAAUGAUGAAAAAGUGCAAAAUCAAGCUCUUUUUUUUCCUUAACAAAAAUGUGACAGAAAACAUAAUUAUGCCCCACUCGCUUUAUCUUCACACUUCACUCUUUCUUUUUUUUUUUUUUCAUUUGACCUCAACUAUCAUUGGUCCGCCAAAUGACCCUUUUACCCUUGAAUAAAUGCAACAUGUAGCACAUAGGAUGCAUCAAGAUAGUCUGUUAUUUUGGAUACACCUGUCCUAGACGGUCUCAACCCCUGGGUUGAGUCCCUUAAAUCAAGUGCACGUGAUGCAAACAAACGUUCCUACUAGGGAUCCGGCAUGAGGUUUUGUUAUACAAGGUUUAAAAACCUGGGUUUAUUUGUUCUAGACCUGGCGUACCCGAGUGGACAGCUCGAGCCGAGGGGGCAGCGUACCUGGAAUACAGAAACUUCACGGCUUUGCAACUUGUCCGAACCUCGUUCUAAAAUUUGGGAUAUGACUCUAAUAGAAGAGAAGUCACACGAAGUGCACGCUUCUCCAUGAUUUAGAAGAGUCAGAGAGAGGAAGAGUUUCGUAGCAGUUUAUAUACAGUUCACAAAAUAUCAAAGCAGUAAAAGCAACAAUUAGACCAUUAGGCCCAAACAUGUAACAAAAUCAGAUAAUGGAUAAAGCCAACUAUAACAAUUCAUCUAAGCUCGAUUCUUGAACCCUGAACCAGAGAUUCUAGAUUCGAUCUCCAGUAGAGUCGCCAGAGCUGUCACGCCUCCUUUUUUACUACCCCGGAAGGGAGUAUAAGAGAGUUUUUUUCCAACUUAAAGUGACAAUAGAAACGGAAUUAUUUAUUUAUUAAAUUCAGAGUUGCCACUUGGGAUAAAUUUAUGGUGUCCCAAGUCACCGGUUCAAAUCCCGAAUAGAGGAAAAGAUUGACUCUGUUUUACAGUUUGCGAACACAGAAAUCCGGGUAAGGAAUUCUGUUAACCCGGGAGAAAGUGUUAGGCAUUUUCGGGUUCCGUAGUUUUAGCAUGGUCUCUCAACUGUUAUUCUUGGUCUAUUAUCUGAUUUUAAAACAUGUUUUAGCCUAUGGUUCAACUUUAACUUAAAAACCGUUUUUAUUUAUUUUAAAGAAGAUUUGACGUCGUCUAAAACAUAUCUUUGGACCGCGCCACAUGAAAUACACCCGCAAUCCGAAACAUAUUUUACUCAACGUUAUUAAGAUUUAGAUUUGGGUCACAUGAAAUGCACACCCGAGUUUAGGAAGAUAAAUUUUAAAAUACGCACCUAAAGCAACUACGCACUUUCAAUUUUGCGAAGGCCAUGGAAAAUUCAACUAAAUGGCACGCCUCGAUUUCUAAGGAUUAAAAUUAAUGGAGGGCCAUGGGUUUUGAGAUUAUUGCGAGGCCAUUAAAUUAUGGACAUUAAUUGUGAUAAAUAAAGAACUGAUCGCUACGAACAGUCAUUGAGUUGGCAGAUUUGAUCGAUGACAAUCAUGCCCAACUCCUUACUGGUCCAAAAUUCGAUUUUUUUUAUUGCCUUUAACGUUCAUAAAAAAUAGCAUAAUAUAAAUACUUCAAUUCUAGCAAGAUAACUUAAAACAAACCAAAAUUAAGGAAGAACUACGCCUAAAAAAAUCGUGAACAUUAAAUAUCUAGACGUAGACAAUUGAGUUUGGACCUACAACACUAAAUGCUAAUUCUGUCAUCAAACAGUGAAUUUAAUUAAAGAAACUAGAACAAAUUUUUAUUAGCUUAUAAAGACAAUAGAAGGCAAACCCUAUAUUAAUAAGUAAAUUACAUUAGGCAUAUAACUACCAGCUAAUCACAUGUAUCUUAAUCAUUUUUUAAUGAGAUCAGUCACUCAUACUCAAGCACAAAUUAGGCACCGAACGCAUCAAAUUUCCAUUCGCAAGCUCGAAACAGAAGAGAACAGUUUACAUACCUAAAUGCAAAAAUACCACAAGAAUGGGCUGGGUAAAGAUCUUAACAGCAACAAUACAUCUCUCAACAACCAAACUCGGACUUUACAGCAGCUCACUACGCAAGUUUUCAAUUUAAAAAAGAAGAAAGCCAAAUAAGACUGGAAUUGACGAGUUUGAAGCUCGGCAACAGCAAAAUCAACACAACCCAACUUCCAUUUCGGAAAUUGAAAUCAACUCGGACCCCAGAAGUUAUAGAAGUAAUGCAACAGAAAUUGAACCAGAUUUGACAAUUUUUUGUAGUUCUUUCUUUACUCUUUUUUUUUGAAGCUUUGAGGGAGGGGAUUCGUCUGGUUCUUUUUUGCAUGAAAAGGGAUCUAAAUCAGUCUCCUAUGUGUUUCAAAGAGAGGUGUGGGUUGAGGAUGAGAAGCAUCAGCGUUUGCUUUUGGUGUCGAAGAAAUGGGUAUCCCUUUUCCUUGCAGUGCUACCCUUUUGUCGGGGAUCUUUUUAGGUCUCCCCAAAUUUGAUCUCUUUUGUGCCUUAGCUCUCCUUUCAUGUGAGGGAUUAGGGUAUAAAAAAUAAAAAAGAGGGUAAUGGGUCAAAUGGGUAUUGGUAUUAAAAUUGGGUUGGAGUUUAGAAUUGAUUUGAGUCUUUAGAAAUUGGCCCAAUUUUAGAAGAAACAAG
rnacentral:lncRNA from 1 species